CGUUAGCCCGGUCUCCAUCUCCGGUACCCUCCCAUCUCCGAUCCUUCUUUCUCCGUCUAGCAAAACAAAUAUUAUUUUUUUUAAAAAUAAAAAAUUCAUUUCUUGUUACACACUUCAAAUCCUUUUUUCUCUUUUUAUCUCACGACAUAUACACAAAAAAUAUAGUAUAAUUUCUUUUUUUUUUUUGGGAUUUUUGUCUGGCUCUAGAAGCAGUGAGCUAAGUAGAAAGAGAGAGGGAGAGACAGAGAAGAGGAGAUUACUAUGCGAGAAUGGCUCAGUACAGGCAACAGUACCACUACGGUAACGGAUCGACGUCGGAUCAUUUGGCCAUUGGGGUUCGAGGAGGCGGCGGCGGAGGAGCCGGGAAUAAAGCCGCCCGAUGGCGCCGAUCGGGGCGUGGAGACAAGAACCGCCGAAUCUCCAUCGGCUCUCUCAUCGUUGUUCUCUCUCUCGUGCUCGUUGUAACUGUUCUCGUAUACUAUUACAUCUCCACUGAUAAUAAUGAUAAUAGUGAAGAAUUAAAUAGUUAUCAUCCUAAGGAUGUUGAUUCCAAGGUUGAUUCUGAUUUCCUUACAAAUGUGACACGAAUGGACAGUUCUAAAGUCCUUAGUUUUGGCCGCAGUUCCAUAGCACAUGGCCGUGAUUCACGAUAUUGGGAUAGGGAUGAUAGGAGAAGGGAUGAUGAUUAUAAUGAGGAUGUGGUGGAGCAUAAUAUGAUGGAUUCUAGUGAUGAGUCUCUUGAUGGUGGCCAUGUUCCCAUGAAAGUGAAGAAUGAGAAGAAGGAGGCUUCCCUUGAUCCUAAUAAGGAUCUGGAUCAUAGAGCUGUUGGGUUGUACAAUGAAGCUGGGCGCAAUGAAUUAAAAAGGUAUGAGAAAGAAUACGAGUUAUCUCUGAAGGAUGGGGGCAAGUUACAAAAAGAACUUGAAAAUAGCCGUCAGCUCUCUGACAGUAAGGACUUUGGAUUGCAUGAUGAGGUUGAUGAUGCUGAUGACCACUAUAAUGAUGACAUUGAUUCUAGUGAUAGUCAAAUGGAAGAUUAUGAUGAUUUUGGACAUGACAAGGAGGAUAACAUAGAUGAAGUAAAAUCUCAUAAUGAACAUGUUAAAGAGUCCUCCACUUUCUCUAAAACUAAGGAUCGGCAUGUUGUCAAAGAGGUUAAAGAAGAAUCCAUGUUAUCUAGGGAGGUCUCUCGAGAUUUUGGUGAUGUUGAUGCUAAUUCUCAACAUGUUGGUUCCCUUGGUCGUAAAGGUGCAAAAAGCUCACGGGCAGAUUCAAAAAGAAAGCCAAGGCGCCGCAAAUUUUCAGGCUCUUGUGAGAUGAAGUUAUUAAAUUCAACACACCUUGUAGAGCCUUUAGAAAGUCGAAAGUUUGCAAGAUUUUCCUUACAGUAUAAACAAAUGGAGGAGAAGCCUGAAGGAGAAGAACAAUGGGUACCUAGAUUCGCUGGGCAUCAGAGUUUGCAAGAACGUGAGGAAUCGUUUUUGGCGCAUGACCAAAAGAUAAAUUGUGGGCUUGUUAAAGGUCCACAAGGGUAUCCGAGUACUGGCUUUGAUCUGGCAGAAGAUGAUGUGAAUUACAUCAGCAGGUGCCACAUUGCUGUGAUCUCUUGCAUUUUUGGAAAUUCAGAUCGCUUGAGGACUCCUGCAGGCAAAAUGGUUACUCGGUUGUCAAGGAAAAAUGUCUGCUUUGUUAUGUUUGUGGAUGAAGUCACGAUGCAAACACUUUUUUCAGAAGGUCAAUCACCUGAUGGUGGUUUUAUUGGUUUAUGGAAGAUAGUGGUUAUAAAAAAUCUUCCAUACACUGAUAUGCGCAGAGUGGGUAAAAUACCAAAAUUGUUGCCGCAUAGACUAUUUCCUUCUGCAAGGUACUCGAUCUGGUUGGAUAGCAAACUACGUCUACAACGUGAUCCUUUACAACUCCUGGAUUACUUCUUGUGGCGAAAAGGUCAUGAGUAUGCGAUCUCUAAUCAUUAUGACCGACAUUGUGUCUGGGAAGAGGUUGCACAAAAUAAGAAGCUGAACAAGUAUAAUCAUACAGUCAUUGAUGAACAAUUUGAAUUUUACCAGGCUGAUGGGCUAAAAAAAUUCAACUCUUCAGAUCCUAACAAGCUUCUUCCUAGCAAUGUGCCUGAAGGUUCUUUUAUUGUUAGAGCACACACCCCAAUGUCAAAUUUGUUCUCAUGUCUUUGGUUCAAUGAGGUCGAGCGAUUUACUCCACGUGAUCAGUUAAGUUUCGCAUAUACAUACCAGAAAUUGAAGAGGAUAAAUCCUGACAGACCAUUUUAUCUCAGCAUGUUCAAGGAUUGUGAGAGGAGAGCUGUAGCUAAGUUGUUUCGCCAUAGAUCAGAGGAGAAGCGAAAUGUUCAACAACAGGCAAUGUUGUAAAAAUGUGUUGCAAUAUCGACCUUUCAUGUCGAGUGUCAAAUUUUUGUACACUUUCUUUGGCCCCUGCUGGUUCAGUUCCUUGUAAAGAAUGCCAACAGUGCUAGUUGUCGACAUAAUGUGACGAAAUUUCUUGGCAACUUGCAACGAGGAAGUCUUAGAGUUGGAUAUAAAGUUUCACGAGCACGAUUAUUUUGAGCCACGGCACCAUCUUGCGGCAGUCCCUUUCGGUUUUAAAUUUGGUUCUCAAUUGGCUAUUAAAAGUUUGUUUUGAGGUGGGGUUUUCAGCCUUGAAUGACAAUUGCCCAUUUAAAUGAGUUGCAAUCCAGUUUAAAUCUUUGCUGGUUGAACUGAGAAACGCGUUAUUCGUCAAGUACAAGUAGAAUCCCAUUUUGUCGCCUAUGAUC